rnacentral:misc_RNA from 1 species
UGGGCUUGACAUGCAGGGUGAAGCCGGUGAAAGCCGGCGCUCCUUCGGGAGCCUGCACAGGUGCUGCAUGGCUGUCGUCAGCUCGUGCCGUGAGGUGUUGCCUUAAGUGGCGCAACGAGCGCAACCCCUGUUCCUAGUUGCCAGCGGGUCAUGCCGGGGACUCUAGGGAGACCGCCGGUGCCAAACCGGAGGAAGGUGGGGAUGACGUUUCUAGGAGGGUG